GGCGUGCUUAACACAUGCAAGUCGAACGGAAAGGCCCUGCUUUUGUGGGGUGCUCGAGUGGCGAACGGGUGAGUAACACGUGAGUAACCUGCCCUUGACUUUGGGAUAACUUCAGGAAACUGGGGCUAAUACCGGAUAGGAGCUCCUGCUGCAUGGUGGGGGUUGGAAAGUUUCGGCGGUUGGGGAUGGACUCGCGGCUUAUCAGCUUGUUGGUGGGGUAGUGGCUUACCAAGGCUUUGACGGGUAGCCGGCCUGAGAGGGUGACCGGCCACAUUGGGACUGAGAUACGGCCCAGACUCCUACGGGAGGCAGCAGUGGGGAAUAUUGCACAAUGGGCGGAAGCCUGAUGCAGCAACGCCGCGUGCGGGAUGACGGCCUUCGGGUUGUAAACCGCUUUCGCCUGUGACGAAGCGUGAGUGACGGUAAUGGGUAAAGAAGCACCGGCUAACUACGUGCCAGCAGCCGCGGUGAUACGUAGGGUGCGAGCGUUGUCCGGAUUUAUUGGGCGUAAAGGGCUCGUAGGUGGUUGAUCGCGUCGGAAGUGUAAUCUUGGGGCUUAACCCUGAGCGUGCUUUCGAUACGGGUUGACUUGAGGAAGGUAGGGGAGAAUGGAAUUCCUGGUGGAGCGGUGGAAUGCGCAGAUAUCAGGAGGAACACCAGUGGCGAAGGCGGUUCUCUGGGCCUUUCCUGACGCUGAGGAGCGAAAGCGUGGGGAGCGAACAGGCUUAGAUACCCUGGUAGUCCACGCUGUAAACGGUGGGUACUAGGUGUGGGGUCCAUUCCACGGGUUCCGUGCCGUAGCUAACGCUUUAAGUACCCCGCCUGGGGAGUACGGCCGCAAGGCUAAAACUCAAAGGAAUUGACGGGGCCCCGCACAAGCGGCGGAGCAUGCGGAUUAAUUCGAUGCAACGCGUAGAACCUUACCUGGGUUUGACAUGGAUCGGGAGUGCUCAGAGAUGGGUGUGCCUCUUUUGGGGUCGGUUCACAGGUGGUGCAUGGCUGUCGUCAGCUCGUGUCGUGAGAUGUUGGGUUAAGUCCCGCAACGAGCGCAACCCUUGUUCACUGUUGCCAGCACGUUAUGGUGGGGACUCAGUGGAGACCGCCGGGGUCAACUCGGAGGAAGGUGGGGAUGACGUCAAGUCAUCAUGCCCCUUAUGUCCAGGGCUUCACGCAUGCUACAAUGGCUGGUACAGAGAGUGGCGAGCCUGUGAGGGUGAGCGAAUCUCGGAAAGCCGGUCUCAGUUCGGAUUGGGGUCUGCAACUCGACCUCAUGAAGUCGGAGUCGCUAGUAAUCGCAGAUCAGCAACGCUGCGGUGAAUACGUUCCCGGGGCUUGUACACACCGCCCGUCAAGUCAUGAAAGUUGGUAACACCCGAAGCCGGUGGCCUAACCGUUGUGGGGGAGCCGUCGAAGGUGGGACUGGUGAUUAGGACUAAGUCAUAAC
rnacentral:rRNA from 1 species